GGCGGUUCUCGGAUGAUGCACCCCAGAAUCAGGCUCCCUCCUCUCUGGUUCUUGGUGCGUCACCCAAGAAAUGCA
rfam:Myotis brandtii contig202851, whole genome shotgun sequence.